AUUGAACGCUGGCGGAAUGCUUUACACAUGCAAGUCGAGCGGCAGCACGGGGGCAACCCUGGUGGCGAGCGGCGAACGGGUGAGUAAUACAUCGGAACAUGCCCAGUCGUGGGGGAUAACACUUCGAAAGAAGUGCUAAUACCGCAUACGUCCUGAGGGAGAAAGCGGGGGAUCUUCGGACCUCGCGCGAUUGGAGUGGCCGAUGUCAGAUUAGCUAGUUGGUGGGGGAAAGGCCUACCAAGGCAACGAUCUGUAGCUGGUCUGAGAGGAUGAUCAGCCCCACUGGGACUGAGACACGGCCCAGACUCCUACGGGAGGCAGCAGUGGGGAAUGUUGGACAAUGGGGGCAACCCUGAUCCAGCCAUUCCGCGUGAGUGAAGAAGGCCUUCGGGUUGUAAAGCUCUUUCGGCAGGAACGAAACGGCGAGCUCUAACAUAGCUUGCUAAUGACGGUACCUGAAGAAGAAGCACCGGCUAACUACGUGCCAGCCGCCGCGGUAACAC
rnacentral:rRNA from 1 species